rnacentral:rRNA from 1 species
GGCAGGCCUAAUACAUGCAAGUCGAGCGGCCCUUCGGGGCAGCGGCGGACGGGUGAGUAACGCGUGGGAACGUGCCCUUUGGUACGGGAUAACUGAGGGAAACUUCAGCUAAUACCGUAUGUGCCCUACGGGGGAAAGAUUUAUCGCCAUUGGAGCGGCCCGCGUUGGAUUAGCUAGUUGGUGGGGUAAAGGCUCACCAAGGCUACGAUCCAUAGCUGGUCUGAGAGGAUGAUCAGCCACACUGGGACUGAGACACGGCCCAGACUCCUACGGGAGGCAGCAGUAGGGAAUCUUGCGCAAUGGGCGAAAGCCUGACGCAGCCAUGCCGCGUGAAUGAUGAAGGUCUUAGGAUUGUAAAAUUCUUUCACCGGGGAAGAUAAUGACGGUACCCGGAGAAGAAGCCCCGGCUAACUUCGUGCCAGCAGCCGCGGUAAUACGAAGGGGGCUAGCGUUGCUCGGAAUUACUGGGCGUAAAGGGCGCGUAGGCGGAUGUUUAAGUCGGGGGUGAAAGCCCGGGGCUCAACCUCGGAAUUGCCUUCGAUACUGGACAUCUUGAGUACGGGAGAGGUGAGUGGAACUCCGAGUGUAGAGGUGAAAUUCGUAGAUAUUCGGAAGAACACCAGUGGCGAAGGCGACUCACUGGCCCGUUACUGACGCUGAGGCGCGAAAG